rnacentral:rRNA from 1 species
GACGAACGCUGGCGGCGUGCUUAACACAUGCAAGUCGAACGGAAAGGCCCUGCUUUUGUGGGGUGCUCGAGUGGCGAACGGGUGAGUAACACGCGAGUAACCUGCCCUUGACUUUGGGAUAACUUCAGGAAACUGGGGCUAAUACCGGAUAGGAGCUCCUGCUGCAUGGUGGGGGUUGGAAAGUUUCGGCGGUUGGGGAUGGACUCGCGGCUUAUCAGCUUGUUGGUGGGGUAGUGGCUUACCAAGGCUUUGACGGGUAGCCGGCCUGAGAGGGUGACCGGCCACAUUGGGACUGAGAUACGGCCCAGACUCCUACGGGAGGCAGCAGUGGGGAAUAUUGCACAAUGGGCGGAAGCCUGAUGCAGCAACGCCGCGUGCGGAAUGACGGCCUUCGGGUUGUAAACCGCUUUCGCCUGUGACGAAGCGUAAGUGACGGUAAUGGGUAAAGAAGCACCGGCUAACUACGUGCCAGCAGCCGCGGUGAUACGUAGGGUGCGAGCGUUGUCCGGAUUUAUUGGGCGUAAAGGGCUCGUAGGUGGUUGAUCGCGUCGGAAGUGUAAUCUUGGGGCUUAACCCUGAGCGUGCUUUCGAUACGGGUUGACUUGAGGAAGGUAGGGGAGAAUGGAAUUCCUGGUGGAGCGGUGGAAUGCGCAGAUAUCAGGAGGAACACCAGUGGCGAAGGGCGGUUCUCUGGGCCUUUCCUGACGCUGAGGAGCGAAAGCGUGGGGAGCGAACAGGCUUAGAUACCCUGGUAGUCCACGCUGUAAACGGUGGGUACUAGGUGUGGGGCCCAUUCCACGGGUUCCGUGCCGUAGCUAACGCUUUAAGUACCCCGCCUGGGGAGUACGGCCGCAAGGCUAAAACUCAAAGGAAUUGACGGGGCCCCGCACAAGCGGCGGAGCAUGCGGAUUAAUUCGAUGCAACGCGUAGAACCUUACCUGGGUUUGACAUGGAUCGGGAGUGCUCAGAGAUGGGUGUGCCUCUUUUGGGGUCGGUUCACAGGUGGUGCAUGCCUGUCGUCAGCUCGUGUCGUGAGAUGUUGGGUUAAGUCCCGCAACGAGCGCAACCCUUGUUCACUGUUGCCAGCACGUUAUGGUGGGGACUCAGUGGAGACCGCCGGGGUCAACUCGGAGGAAGGUGGGGAUGACGUCAAGUCAUCAUGCCCCUUAUGUCCAGGGCUUCACGCAUGCUACAAUGGCUGGUACAGAGAGUGGCGAGCCUGUGAGGGUGAGCGAAUCUCGGAAAGCCGGUCUCAGUUCGGAUUGGGGUCUGCAACUCGACCUCAUGAAGUCGGAGUCGCUAGUAAUCGCAGAUCAGCAACGCUGCGGUGAAUACGUUCCCGGG